AAAGGCACUCUGCUCUUCACUAAGCAAUGCUCAUUCGACCCAAGAAAUCUCUCUGUCAAGGGGAUGUUACUUCUUUUUGAAGUACAGAGUAAGAGAUUCUCCUGGACCAUCUCUAGAAGAGCAUGUCUUCUCUAGCACCUUCUCGAACAGAGACUGUGAAUGACCCUUCGAGAUGAGACGUAUCACUGAUGCACAGCUCGAAAGCAUGCUGGCUAACCACUACAGAAGAGUCAAGAGGAGAAGACAGUCGUGUGUGUCCUUGGCUCAGUUAUUCGUGCUCAUUCACAUACAGCAUGAUAUGGAGCAUGAUGUGGACCUUAAAACCACCUGAUGAAGGUUCUCUCCGGACAGAACUCCUCCUGUAUCUGCAUCUUGAUGCUUUGAAGUCUAUAUUUGCAGCCAUGGGAAUGGGAUUUAUUAUGUCCAAGAUAAAUGAGCUCCCCAAGAAGUAUCCUUCGACAAUGAAUGAUGGAGAUGUCUCCCCGAAACAAACUCAUCCUUCAGGUUAAAGAAGUUAUUGGACCAGGUCAGAAAAGAGAAGAAUGAAAACACCUGAGCCCUCACAGUGUAACCUGCAGGGCCUGCCAGAAGCUCUGUGAGUCGGAGCUGCUGUU